AGACAACAAAAUGUUUUAUAUUAUUUUGUCACCUUAGGUCGAUCGGUAUCUCACUUUUUUAAUUUAUUAAGAAAUUCAUUUCCUAAGUUUUUCUAGGUCACACCCAUUAUUUUUCCUGGGCCAUUAGCUCAGGUGGUUAGAGCGCACCCCUGAUAAGGGUGAGGUCCCUGGUUCAAGUCCAGGAUGGCCCAUAUCUCUAUGUUGGGGGUAUAGCUCAGUUGGUAGAGCGCCUGCUUUGCAAGCAGGAUGUCAGCGGUUCGAGUCCGCUUACCUCCACUGAUUACCACCUCUUCCAUAACCGGUAGAAAGGAAAUGUUUUGAGUUGUGAUCAAAUCCUGAAAGAAUCUAGCUUCCUAAUGAAAUCAUUAAGAUGCUGGACUCAUUGAAUUAACUUCAUUGUUUUCAGAGAACCUUGACAACUGCAUAGAUUAUUUUUAAAGACAAUAAGCAUCUUUAAUGAUGCAGAUUUAUUAUUUGUGCAAAUGCAUUAAUAACAAUUCUAUUAAGCUGAUGCUUCAAUUUUUGAAGUUAUU
rnacentral:tRNA from 1 species